rnacentral:lncRNA from 1 species
CAAGAAUCUGCUGAUGGGCAAAGCCCAUACUCUUCCAUCAGGUCUACUCUUUUAACUGAUACAUCUCCGCGGAGCAGAAACCACAGCCACAAGAUGUCACAACAGGGAGUGAAACACGGAGGGCACUUGUAACUCACAAGUUACCACUCCCUAGCUCCAGGGCGGGGUAGCAGCGAGAUUUUCAUUAAUUGUGUGGGGCCCCAGGAUGUGUUUUGGUUUUGCAAAGCUCUCUGGCAGAGCCUGACUUCCUGUUUAUCUGCCUCCGUACGCUCGCACAGCACAUGCAAUUCAAAACACAAGUGCAUGUGUCUUACAAUUCAGAACCAGAAGAGACUGGAACAUUUUUAAUUAGACUGAAAAUAAAAAGAUAGCAGCUUUGGAAGAUGUGUUCCCCUAGCUCCUUUCCUCUUGAAGGCUGCAAUUAAACAUGUUUUCUGGAGAACUGAUCCUUGCCACCCCAAGGAAAGGGGGAACACGAACCCCAUUAUUUGGUAGUCAACUUCGCCCCUAAAAUAAGUGAAACCGCGAAGCUGUCUUUUACCAGAUGCCCGGGGAACUGGCAGAAAACUGCACGACCAGAGUUUCGUACCCUUGGGGCAUGAUGUACACCAAGAAAUCUGUCAUCAGGGAGAUUUUUGCUUCUAACAGCCUGAUCAGAUGCCGGAGAGAGGAAGAGCUGGAGGGCCCACUUCAGAUACCCCAUGAGCGACCUCUGUGUCCCUUUUACCCGAGCUUCUCAUCGGGCACCAGGCUCAAGCUGAUUGGAGAGAAAGAGCCAAUUCUGCUUAGAAACAUCUCCAUGACAUAUUCUGCCCAUUAG